rnacentral:tRNA from 2 species
GCGGGAGUGGUGAAAUGGCAGACACGCAGGAUUUAGGUUCCUGUGCCUUCGGGCGUGAGGGUUCAAGUCCCUCCUUCCGCA